rnacentral:miRNA from 1 species
GCCAAAAAGUUCGUUCGGGUUUUUCCGUGAGUUGCGAUGAAAAUCCCGAACGAAUUUUUUGGC